rnacentral:rRNA from 1 species
AAGGAACUAACAGGAUUCCCCUAGUAACUGCGAGUGAAGCGGGAAAAGCUCAAAUUUAAAAUCUGGCGGCCUUGGUCGUCCGAGUUGUAGUCUGGAGAAGUGCUUUCCGCGCUGGACCGUGUACAAGUCUCUUGGAACAGAGCGUCAUAGAGGGUGAGAAUCCCGUCUUUGACACGGACUACCAGUGCUUUGUGAUGCGCUCUCAAAGAGUCGAGUUGUUUGGGAAUGCAGCUCAAAAUGGGUGGUAAAUUCCAUCUAAAGCUAAAUAUUGGCGAGAGACCGAUAGCGAACAAGUACCGUGAGGGAAAGAUGAAAAGCACUUUGGAAAGAGAGUUAAACAGUACGUGAAAUUGCUGAAAGGGAAACGCUUGAAGUCAGUCGCGUCUGCCGGAACUCAGCCUUGCUUUUGCUUGGUGCACUUUCCGGUUGACGGGCCAGCAUCGAUUUUGACCGGCGGAAAAGGGUUGGAGAAAUGUGGCACCUCCGGGUGUGUUAUAGUCUCUGGUCGCAUACGUCGGUUGGGAUCGAGGAACGCAGCGUGCCGCAAGGCAGGGGUUCGCCCACUUUCGCGCUUAGGAUGCUGGCAUAAUGGCUUUAAACGAC